AGGCUUAACACAUGCAAGUCGAGCGCCCCGCAAGGGGAGCGGCAGACGGGUGAGUAACACGUGGGAACGUACCCUUUACUACGGAAUAACGCAGGGAAACUUGUGCUAAUACCGUAUGUGCCCUUCGGGGGAAAGAUUUAUCGGUAAGGGAUCGGCCCGCGUUGGAUUAGCUAGUUGGUGGGGUAAAGGCCUACCAAGGCGACGAUCCAUAGCUGGUCUGAGAGGAUGAUCAGCCACAUUGGGACUGAGACACGGCCCAA
rnacentral:rRNA from 1 species